AGGGGGUUGCCAGGCCCGCAGGUUCUAGAACGAGAGAAAGGUCUACGGAGGGUUCCGUUAGCGUGGACGGCGGUGCCUGCCACAGGUGGUGAGGACCUAAUGAGAUCCGUGUCAAACACCAGCCCCGGAUGGAAACGCUGGUGCCUGCUCAUUGUUUCCACUGUCCCUCCUCACUCUCAGUCUGCCUCCACGGUAAUUUCAGAUUCCAGUGUUUUGGAAACAGAAUGAUCUGGAGGCACACCAACAUUUCUCUCAAUAGGUAAUCAGUAUUCCCCCCCAGACGUUCCCAUAUGAAUCUGUCAAAACCUCUGGCUACUCCUGCCCCUGUCCCCUGACUGUAUCCCCCAGGUCCCUUCCGUAUCUCAAAGCCCACCUACUUCGGAGCAGUGGCUACACUGAGGGUGAGAACAGUGUUUUGGUGACCUUUUGCAUGAUUAUAGGACUGCGGAGCUGCUGUCUUCGGCAGUGACUCAUAUUCAGGGCAUUAAAAUCAGCAGUGGCAAUGCCAGCCACAUCGUCAUUCUGCCACAGUGUGGUUCAAACACUUAUCUUAUCUUCCAAAUUCUUCUUACUCUUCCUCCUCACUCAUUUUCUCUGUUCCUGUAAUAUACCCGGCACUUUGCCUCCUUCAUAUUUCCACAGAAGUAGUUCUGUCUACCCCGAAUGACUUCUGCUUCUGUGUCAGCUCUUCAGUGUAUUCUCCAUCCUGCAAAACCUCAUUAUAGUGCCAGUCCCUCCAGGAAAUUUCCUCUGUGUCCUCAAAGCACUUUGUCCUAUAGUAAUUGUGUCUGUGAGGCUGUGUGGCCUUAUUUAUGUAACAUCUUCCUUUUUCCAACAACUGUGAAAGCUAUUGGGAUAGUGCCUCAUCUCUAUAUGCCUUCCAGACAGUAAAACUCAUUCAAGAAGAAGUUUUUAUUGGCCUCUUUUGUGGUUUUGGCCAGGUUUACAACAGUGAACAAAGGAUAUCCCUUCUCAUGGCACUUUUUCUCUGGGGGAAGAUGGACAAUAAACUCAUACUCAAAUAGAUAAAAGUCAUGUGUUGCCUAAUGAUGAGGUAUGUUCUAAGAAAUGCAUUGUGAAGCAAUUUUGUUGUGUAACUAUCUAUAUUACAUAUACUUAAACAU
rnacentral:lncRNA from 1 species